GCAAGUCGAGCGCUACCUUCGGGUGGAGCGGCGGACGGGUUAGUAACGCGUGGGAAUAUACCCAGUUCUAAGGAAUAGCCUCUGGAAACGGAGAGUAAUACCGUAUGUGCCCUUCGGGGGAAAGAUUUAUCGCCAUUGGAUUAGCCCGCGUUGGAUUAGGUAGUUGGUGGGGUAAUGGCCUACCAAGCCUACGAUCCAUAGCUGGUUUGAGAGGAUGAUC
rnacentral:rRNA from 1 species